rnacentral:rRNA from 1 species
GACGAACCGUCCGAACGUUAUUCGGAAUCAUUGGGCUUACAGGGUGCGUAGGCGGCCUGGUAAGUCAGGUGUGAAAUCCCACAGCAUAACUGUGGAACAGCGCUUGAAACUACCAGGCUUGAGGGAGAUAGAGGUAAGCGGAACUGAUGGUGGAGCGGUGAAAUGCGUUGAUAUCAUCAGGAACACCUGUGGCGAAAGCGGCUUACUGGGUCUCUUCUGACGCUGAGGCACGAAAGCUAGGGUAGCGAAC